UGUGGUGUAGCUUAAAGGUAGAGCAUUUGCCUACCAUGUAUGAGACCCUGGGUUUGAUCUCCAACACCAUGC
rnacentral:tRNA from 1 species